UGAAUACGAGACGCUAAGGCGUCGAAGUAGUGUAUGUCAUACUUCCAAGAAAAGCUUGCACUGUCAUAGAUAAAAAACGCCUGUACCAUAACCGACACAGGUGGGUAGGUAGAGUAUACUAAGGGGCGCGAGAUAACUCUCUCUAAGGAACUCGGCAAAAUAACUCCGUAACUUCGGGAGAAGGAGUGCCUUAUUCGUAAGGUUGCAAUAACAAGAUCCAAGCAACUGUUUAUCAAAAACACAGGUCUCCGCUAAGUCGUAAGACGAUGUAUGGGGGCUGACGCCUGCCCAGUGCCAGAAGGUUAAAGAAGUUGGUUAGCAAUUGCGAAGCUGAUAACUGAAGCCCUGGUGAACGGCGGCCGUAACAAUAACGGUCCUAAGGUAGCGAAAUUCCUUGUCGGGUAAGUUCCGACCCGCACGAAAGGCGUAAUGAUUUGGAUACUGUCUCGGAGAGGGGCUCGGUGAAAUAGACUUGUCUGUGAAGAUGCGGACUACCUGCACCAGGACAGAAAGACCCUAUGAAGCUUUACUGUAACUUGAAAUUGAAAUUGGACUUUAUUCGCGCAGUAUAGGUGGGAGGCGUUGAUUAUAAUCUUGUGGGAUUAUUGGAGCCAUCAGUGAGAUACCACUCUUGUAAUGUUAGAUUUCUAACUUUGAAUCAUUAUCUGGUCAAAGAACAGUUUCAGGCGGGCAGUUUGACUGGGGCGGUCGCCUCCUAAACGGUAACGGAGGCGUACAAAGGUUUCCUCUGAACGGUUAGAAAUCGUAUCUAGAGUGUAAAGGCAUAAGGAAGCUUGACUGUGAGACCUACAAGUCGAGCAGGGACGAAAGUCGGUCUUAGUGAUCUGACGGUACUGAGUGGAAAGGCCGUCACUCAACGGAUAAAAGUUACUCUAGGAUAACAGGCUGAUCUCCCCCAAGAGUUCACAUCGACGGGGAGGUUUGGCACCUCGAUGUCGGCUCAUCGCAUCCUGGGGCGGUAGUACGUCCCAAGGGUUGGGCUGUUCGCCCAUGAAAGCGGUACGCGAGCUGGGUUCAGAACGUCGUGAGACAGUUCGGUCCAUAUCCGGUGUAGGCGUUAGAAUAUUGAGAGGAGCCUUCUUUAGUACGAGAGGACCGAGAAGGACAUACCUCUGGUGUACCAGUUAUCGUGCCAACGGUAAACGCUGGGUAGCUAUGUAUGGAGUGGAUAACCGCUGAAAGCAUCUAAGUGGGAAGCCCACCUCAAGAUAAGUAUUCUCAC
rnacentral:rRNA from 1 species